CCUACGGGAGGCAGCAGUGAGGAAUAUUGGUCAAUGGCCGGAAGGCUGAACCAGCCAAGCCGCGUGAAGGACGAAGGUGCCAAGCAUUGUAAACUUCUUUUGUCAAGGGACAAAAUCAGGCUCGAGAGCCUGACCGAGGGUACUUGAAGAAAAAGCAUCGGCUAACUCCGUGCCAGCAGCCGCGGUAAUAAGGAGGAUGCGAGCGUUAUCCGGAUUUAUUGGGUUUAAAGGGUGCGUAGGCGGGCUGUUAAGUCAGCGGGAAAAGCCCGGGGCUCAACCCCGGCGAGCCGUUGAAACUGGCUGUCUUGAGAUGUCGAGAGGUAUGCGGAAUGCGCAGUGUAGCGGUGAAAUGCUUAGAUAUUGCGCAGAACUCCGAUUGCGAAGGCAGCAUACCGGCGGCGAUCUGACGCUGAGGCACGAAAGCGUGGGUAUCGAACAGGAUUAGAUACCCUAGUAGUC
rnacentral:rRNA from 1 species